GUGGAUUAGAUACCCUGGUAGUCCACGCCGUAAACGAUGGAUACUAGCUGUUUGGUUGUAAGACUGAGUGGCUAAGCGAAAGUGAUAAGUAUCCCACCUGGGGAGUACGGGCGCAAGCCUGAAACUCAAAGGAAUUGACGGGGGCCCGCACAAGCGGUGGAGCAUGUGGUUUAAUUCGAUGAUACGCGAGGAACCUUACCAGGGCUUAAAUGUAGUGGGACAGGCUUGGAAACAGGCCCUUCUUCGGACUCAUUACAAGGUGCUGCAUGGCUGUCGACAGCU
rnacentral:rRNA from 1 species